AGGGAAAGAUGAAAUAAUAAUGAAAACACAAGCAAUAAACAGCAAAGAUAAACCCUUGUACCUUUUGCAUCAUGAUUUAGCAAGAACAACCAAGCAAAACGAACUUAAGCUUGCCCCCCCGAAACCCAAGCGAGCUACUUACAGGCAGCUAUUCUGAGCGAACCCGUCUCUGUUGCAAAAGAGUGGGAUGACCUGUUAGUAGAGGUGAAAAGCCAACCGAGCUGGGUGAUAGCUGGUUGCCCGUGAAAUGAAUCUAAGUUCUACCUUAACCUUCUCCCCAUCAAUGAACUUCAACCAAUCACCCCUUAACGUGGAAAGUUAAGAGCAAUUUAAAGGAGGUACAGCCCCUUUAAAAAAGGAUACAACCUCCCCUAGCGGAUAAAUCUUCCCCAACCUGCAACCCUGUAGGCCUUAAAGCAGCCAUCAACAAAGAAUGCGUCAAAGCUCACUACCCAAAAGAUCCAGAAACCUCAUGACUCCCUUACCCCUAACGGGCUAACCUAUACCUAUAGGAGAAUUAAUGCUAAAAUAAGUAACUUGGAGCUCCUCUCCUCUCAAGCGCAAACUUACAUUUUUCCCCAAUUAUUAACAGACCAACUAAUACUGCAAUUCUAACAAGCCCAAAUAUUAACCUUACCCUGUUACCCCAACAUUGGAGCGCCCAUUAAGAAAGAUUAAAAUCUGUAGAAGGAACUAGGCAAACCCAGGGCCCGACUGUUUACCAAAAACAUAGCCUUCAGCCGACCAAGUAUUGAAGGUGAUGCCUGCCCAGUGACAUACGUUCAACGGCCGCGGUAUCCUAACCGUGCGAAGGUAGCGCAAUCAAUUGUCCCAUAAAUCGAGACUUGUAUGAAUGGCUAAACGAGGUCCUAACUGUCUCCCACAGAUAAUCAGUGAAAUUGAUCCCCUUGUGCAAAAGCAAGAAUAACCACAUAAGACGAGAAGACCCUGUGGAACUUUAAAAUCAUCGGCCACUCCACAAACAACCCUAAACCUACUAGGACCACCACUCUCAAAUACUGGCCCACAUUUUUCGGUUGGGGCGACCUUGGAGAAAAACAAAUCCUCCAAAAACAAGACCACACCUCUUAACCUAGAGCAACACCUCCACGUGCUAACAGCAACCAGACCCAAUACAAUUGAUUAAUGAACCAAGCUACCCCAGGGAUAACAGCGCAAUCUCCUUCAAGAGCCCAUAUCGACAAGGAGGUUUACGACCUCGAUGUUGGAUCAGGACAUCCUAAUGGUGCAGCCGCUAUUAAGGGUUCGUUUGUUCAACGAUUAACAGUCCUACGUGAUCUGAGUUCAGACCGGAGCAAUCCAGGUCGGUUUCUAUCUAUGACGAACUUCCCCCAGUACGAAAGGACCGGGAAAGUGAGGCCAAUGCCACAAGUACGCCUCCCCCAUAAGUAAUGAACCCAACUAAAUUACCAAGAGGACGCCCUAACCCCCAUGCCCUAGAUAAGGGCCAAGCUAGUGUGGCAGAGCUCGGUAAAUGCAAAAGGCUUAAGCCCUUUACUCAGAGGUUCAAAUCCUCUCCCUAG
rnacentral:rRNA from 1 species